CGACAGCUUGAUCGCGACAAGUUGUUUCGUGUCUCCUGCGAAUUCAACUGGCUGCAGAUAAAUCUCAGGAAUGAGCAAGAAUGGACAGGACAUGCUCGAAAGACGCUCCGCAUUUUUCGCGACGUCACUCCACCGAAAAAAUCCGGAAUUCAAACCGCAUCGCGUUUUAUCGUCGGCAAUGCCGUAAGUUUCGUGCGAGCGUCGGACAUUUUGGAAUUCGAAUCGUUACGGGUUACGGGGCAUGUCGUCCCCUGAUGGACGGAAAAGUCGAUUUACAAAGGAAUCUUGCGACGUGACGCUACAAUUCUCUUGGGCGAUCUCGCUUUUUCACGUCUUCACGUCCUCAAAAACAGAGAGAGAGAGAGAGAGAGAGAGAGAGAGAGAGAGAGAUAGAGAGAGAGAAAGAGGGAGGAGGAAGAGGGAGAAAACGUCUACAGGAAUCUAGAGACAGGGAUGCAGAGAGGAUCCGCAGAAAAGCAACAUUGAGGAUGAAUCAAAUCGUCGUAUCCACGCGAGUCAGUGUCAGUGGCAGUGUCAAUGCAAGUGAAUAUUCGAAGUGCCACCAUGGAGCAACCGGGAACCAGGAAGUUGAAAGGAGGAAAUAGACAGACAUAUAUUUUCAGGCAACGCUGGCGAUCUCGCGACAGAUGCAAUUUCGGAAGGUGCAAUUUCGAUAUGAGAGGAUGGCAGUACCGGAGGAUCCGGUUCGGGCCAAGCAGGGUUGGCUCGAAGAUUUGAGUAGCAGCAUGUGGCUGACCCUGAUAUCUGGCGACGUUUGGUGAGUCAAAAAAAUGAAUGAUAAUUAUUUAAGGUGAUAGAUUCAUAAAUGGUAGAAACUUCCAAUAAAGUCAGUGCGAUUUACCUUGUACAUUUAUACAUACAAAGUGGAUUUUUGUAUGAAAUAUGCUGCUCGGGACAAAUAGGGCAUCGUUUUUCUAUACCAAACAUCCAUUUCAACAUUUUAUACAUAUUCGAAGUGUCAAAUCUUUUUAGUGUCAAUAUUUCUUUUCUUAAUUCAAAGUAUUAUACUGGUGUGCUUGAGAUUAUACAAUUGUUUAACAAAUUUUAUACAGUGCAAUUACCUAAUUGUUCCGAGUAAUGCAAAAUGCGCAUUCGAAUUGCGCAAUUACGCGAGCAAUUUGCAAUUAUCUCGUUCGCGUUAUUAGAUAUUCCCAUCAGCUUUUAAUUCGCGAUUUUCUAUUCUUACGUCUUACGUCGCGAUUAUUUCAUUCAUGUAUUUCAAUCCACGGUGUUUAUUACUUGUUUACGCACGAGUAACUUUACGGAUGUGUUAAGAUGACACAAUAACAUGAAUUCCAUGAUUUCGCCAUGAUUUUGUCGGAACAGGAAGUCCGUAUUUUGAAACGUAUAAACAGGAGAUUAGUUUUUCAAAUAUUUUCGCCUAAAAUAUGGCGAUCUUUAGUUUAUAAUUUUUACACGUGACUUACUGGUGUCUUUGAUACUAGUGAGUCUAAUAUACCAAACUUUAUCGCAUCGUGAUAAAUAACGAAUUCGUAAAUUUUAAUUUCGUUUCUAGAAGUCUAAAUCCUCCUCUUUCGACAGAAAAUUUGUUAUCGAUCUGUCAAAAUAUUGCUCCAUUCUUAAUACAAAAUUUAUAAAUCUCGUUCCGACAUAAAUUAAAAUACAUUUCAACAGAACCACCGAUUCGUUAAAUAUUCAUUAAAUUCUGUUAAAACACGAAUGUUAAUCGCGUCGCGAUCGCGGUAAAAUAUAGGGAAGUGCAAUCACAACGUGGAAUGUUACGAGACACAAACUGGACGCUGCGGAAUUGCAGAUCUGGAGAAAGGUGGACCUGGUUGGACCUGAGUAAACCUGACUGGACGUCGAUAUACUUCACAACAAAAUGGUGAGUGCUGAAUUUCUGCACUCAAAAAAUAUUACAUAAUAUAGUGCAUGCACGACAGUAACUCGCACUGAUUUUUAAGGAAAAGAAUAGGAGCAAAUAUAAACUGCCGUUUAACACACUGUCGACCAUAUUAGUUAUCAAUUUUAAUAUGUUUCGUAGAUUAUGUACAUUUUUCAUGAGUUAUUCGCAACAAACAGUAUCUCA
rnacentral:lncRNA from 1 species